AAUAAUGAUAACUGCAGGGUUUCAAAAUGUACAAGGCAUCAUAUCAAAGACUGCAUAUAAUGCCCGAAAGAAGGACAAAUCCAAUUUGGCUCUCUGGAUGUAUUGAAAGCUCUCAACCUUCCAGAAAAGGACUGUUCAAAGGAACACUUAAAUCCCUCCGACAGACAAAGAUAACCUCUCUAGGCCCUCUGGUGGUGACGUAUAAGUGCUUUCUCAGUACUUUCUCUCGCUUUUGGACAAAUCCAAGUGCUGUAUCUGUACCCGAAUAGAAAUAAAGGAUUUUAAUGAAACAGUUUUCUUCCGCUCUGAAAGUGAACGAAUGACAAAACAGUCUAGAGAAUUCCUCGCCCUGCUGCAGAAGAUCAAUCCUGGGUUGUGCUCACCAAAGCAAACCUCUUUUUUGUGUAUUCAGUGUCUUAACUAUGUAAAAGACAACUAUAACAGGGUGUACAGUGCUGUUUCUGAAAUUGACGAAUCCUCUUGUGAUGAAGAUUGAAGAAGCUAUUGCCAUCCAAGUGGAAAAAGUCCCGCCUUUGUCACCCUCGGCCUCCUCGAAUAGAACUAAGAAAAUGUGGAGACUUUCUUCAUUUAGUUCCCAAUCAAGUGGACCAGAUGUUGAUUUGUUUGAAAUGGACUGAGACUUGUGUUUCAUAUGCCAGGUUGAACAGACGUUAGAAACGAAAAAGGAUAGUCUGAUUCAAGGAAAAGAUAAAAGUUUCUUCGUCGAUUUCGCAACAUACUAUCUGUGGACAUCUACAGAAAUCGUCAGGAUCUGUGCAACAUCGAUGUUAAUCCUGAUUCGCACAUGAACAAGUGCCCUGUUCUUAACCCUGAGAGUCUCGGAAAAUAUCUCUAUAGCAAGCUAGGUAGAUAUCACAAAACGUGUCGUUUGAGGUACAGCAACUCGAGGGUGAAACAAUUGAAGGGUAAAUUAUCUGAAGCUGUAAGUUUAAAACCUGUCUCUAAAAACCUGUUUUAAAAUGGAAAGACACGUGUCCACGCACGACAACACCAAUGCUGCAUUAAUGAGUGCAGGUAUUGACGCUGUACGGACCUUUUAACUGGAGCAGGAGAAUGUUUUACCAGAACUGUAACGUCUAAUUUAUCUGAGAACGCUGCAAACUCCAGCAAUGUUUAAUCUGAUCACAUCAGUUUUCAGAAAGACAAUGUCGGUAAGACGAGUUUGUAUCUAAUCUUGCCGCAACAAUAGAUUCGGAUAGAGAUGAUAACACUUUAACAAAGACAGCACUCAUAACGGAGAUUAGAAAAGAAAUCUUUCAAUGUAGAAACGAAUUCUAUCAGCUAUCGUUCCGUAAGACGAUUUAUCUUCAAAAACAUGUUCGAUUUACCGAUCGGUGGCAUCUGUAGA